GGAAAGGCGCGCGAUACAGGGUGACAGCCCCGUACACAAAAAUGCACAUGCUGUGAGCUCGAUGAGUAGGGCGGGACACGUGGUAUCCUGUCUGAAUAUGGGGGGACCAUCCUCCAAGGCUAAAUACUCCUGACUGACCGAUAGUGAACCAGUACCGUGAGGGAAAGGCGAAAAGAACCCCGGCGAGGGGAGUGAAAAAGAACCUGAAACCGUGUACGUACAAGCAGUGGGAGCACGCUUAGGCGUGUGACUGCGUACCUUUUGUAUAAUGGGUCAGCGACUUAUAUUCUGUAGCAAGGUUAACCGAAUAGGGGAGCCGAAGGGAAACCGAGUCUUAACUGGGCGUUAAGUUGCAGGGUAUAGACCCGAAACCCGGUGAUCUAGCCAUGGGCAGGUUGAAGGUUGGGUAACACUAACUGGAGGACCGAACCGACUAAUGUUGAAAAAUUAGCGGAUGACUUGUGGCUGGGGGUGAAAGGCCAAUCAAACCGGGAGAUAGCUGGUUCUCCCCGAAAGCUAUUUAGGUAGCGCCUCGUGAAUUCAUCUCCGGGGGUAGAGCACUGUUUCGGCAAGGGGGUCAUCCCGACUUACCAACCCGAUGCAAACUGCGAAUACCGGAGAAUGUUAUCACGGGAGACACACGGCGGGUGCUAACGUCCGUCGUGAAGAGGGAAACAACCCAGACCGCCAGCUAAGGUCCCAAAGUCAUGGUUAAGUGGGAAACGAUGUGGGAAGGCCCAGACAGCCAGGAUGUUGGCUUAGAAGCAGCCAUCAUUUAAAGAAAGCGUAAUAGCUCACUGGUCGAGUCGGCCUGCGCGGAAGAUGUAACGGGGCUAAACCAUGCACCGAAGCUGCGGCAGCGACGCUGAUGCGUUGUUGGGUAGGGGAGCGUUCUGUAAGCCUGCGAAGGUGUGCUGUGAGGCAUGCUGGAGGUAUCAGAAGUGCGAAUGCUGACAUAAGUAACGAUAAAGCGGGUGAAAAGCCCGCUCGCCGGAAGACCAAGGGUUCCUGUCCAACGUUAAUCGGGGCAGGGUGAGUCGACCCCUAAGGCGAGGCCGAAAGGCGUAGUCGAUGGGAAACAGGUUAAUAUUCCUGUACUUGGUGUUACUGCGAAGGGGGGACGGAGAAGGCUAUGUUGGCCGGGCGACGGUUGUCCCGGUUUAAGCGUGUAGGCUGGUUUUCCAGGCAAAUCCGGAAAA
rnacentral:rRNA from 1 species